UACGUAGGGUGCGAGCGUUGCCCGGAAUUAUUGGGCGUAAAGAGCUUGUAGGCGGUUUGUCGCGUCUGCCGUGAAAAUCCGGGGCUCACCCCGACUUGCGGUGGGUACGGGCAGACUAGAGUGUGGUAGGGGAGACUGGAAUUCCUGGUGUAGCGGUGAAAUGCGCAGAUAUCAGGAGGAACACCGAUGGCGAAGGCAGGUCUCUGGGCCACUACUGACGCUGAGAAGCGAAAGCGUGGGGAGCGAACAGG
rnacentral:rRNA from 1 species